GGAGAUAUAGAUCAGUGGUAGAGUGAAUUCGACUGCAGAUUGAGAGGUCUCCGGUUAUAUCCCGGAGUCCCGUUCUUCA